AGAAGGGCUUCCACGCGGCGACGUUUGGGGGCCUUUUUCUUUUGC
rfam:Ochrobactrum pseudogrignonense strain K8 chromosome 1, complete sequence.